rnacentral:lncRNA from 1 species
AAGAUAAAAGAGGGUAAAAAUUAGUGUCGGAUAGUAAUAUCUCAAGCUUAUAACUUUAAAUGACAAAGAGGACCAGUCACUUGCAACUUAACAAGCAGCAAAUAAUCAACAGUAACCAUAAGUUGAGCAAAAUGCAAGCAAAUGAUUAGAAAAUUAAAGCAAGCCAUGGUGAUCAAAUUCUUCAACUUAGAUUACUGUUUCCGACUAACUUUUUUUUUUCUUUUUUAG